rnacentral:rRNA from 1 species
UACAGAGGGUGCGAGCGUUGUCCGGAAUCACUGGGCGUAAAGGGCGCGUAGGCGGCUUGGGAAGUCCGUGGUGAAAGCCCGAGGCUCAACUUCGGGUCGGCCAUGGAUACUCCUAAGCUCGAGUCGACUAGAGGCUAAUGGAAUUCCGGGUGUAGCGGUGGAAUGCGUAGAGAUCCGGAAGAACACCGGUGGCGAAGGCGGUUAGCUGGGGUCGGACUGACGCUGAGGCGCGACAGCGUGGGGAGCAAACAGG